rnacentral:rRNA from 1 species
AACGAACGCUGGCGGCGUGGAUUAGGCAUGCAAGUCGAACGCGAAAGAGGGGGUAACUCCUCGAGUAGAGUGGCGAACGGGUGAGUAACACGUGAGAAACCUGCCUUCAGCAGGGGGAUAACACUCCCAACGGGGUGCUAAUACCGCAUGAGACCACGGAUUCGCAUGGAUCUGGGGUCAAAGGUGGCCUCUGCUUGCAAGCUACCGGCUGAAGAUGGUCUCGCGCCCAUUAGCUAGUUGGUGGGGUAAUGGCCCACCAAGGCGACGAUGGGUAGCUGGUCUGAGAGGAUGGUCAGCCACACUGGGACUGAGAUACGGCCCAGACUCCUACGGGAGGCAGC